UACGUAGGGGGCGAGCGUUAUCCGGAAUUACUGGGCGUAAAGCGCACGCAGGCGGUUCGCCAAGUUUGGAGUGACAGUUGUCGGCUCAACCGACAAAGGACUUCAAAAACUGGUGAACUUGAGGACGAGAGAGGAACAUGGAACUCCAGGUGUAGUAGUGAAAUGCGUAGAUAUCUGGAAGCACACCAAUGGCGAAGGCAAUGUUCUGGCUCGUUUCUGACGCUCAGGUGCGAAAGCCAGGGGAGCGAACGGG
rnacentral:rRNA from 1 species